CGACAAUCUCUUCAAGCCUUGAUUCUAUCAUCUGAAAAAUGGGGAUAAUAAUUCCUGCAUCUCAGUGCUUUGAUGGACACUUAGUGAGGUUGGAGAGUCAGGUCCGACCGAAGGGCUGGGGCACUAGUGUCUAUGAUCGUCAGUCACCAGCAGCUGCAAGAUUUCUCUGACAAAUGUGCAAACGUGGGACCGAGUUAGUCAGUGUGCCCCCUGGAAGAAGGUUCUAAAAUGGCGGGUUCGCACCGGAGAGGGCUCAGUCGGAAACAAAAGGGCAGAGAGCAGAAGGAGCGAGGAGAAAAUGAACAUAACUGGAUGUGAUGCCUGGAGGUGCAGUAGCCAUUUUGCAACCAUGAGGCAACAAGCAUGAGAACAAAGGCCUACAGUGAAGGAUGUUAGAAUGGAAAGAUAAAUGAGCUUGAUACCUGAUGACAUCAUUGAGUCACAUUAUCAGCCCUGGAUUUUCUACUCCUGGACUCUAGUUGUGGAGACUUCUAUCUGUUUAAGUUACUGUAGCAGGGUUUUCCAUUAUUUGCAGAAAAAUACAAUCCUAAGCUAUAUUCCCAGGCUGUUCAAAUCUGUUUACAGUUAUUCUUUCUUUAGUAAAGCAAGGAAAUAAUUGACGGUCAGCUUCUGAAUUUGACCUUUCCACAAAGUUAUACACCAUUAUUAGCUUCCCUCAGUACCAUUUCUUUGAGUUAACUGAUUUCAGUGUCCCUCUGAUUUCCUGUACCAUCUAAAGUUUUGAAACCACACGAAACAAGAGUCAGGGUUCAGGUUAGGGGCUAUCUUCAGCUAAGCAUAAUGAAUGGUUGUAGUUUCAACUUGCUAACAAUCUAAUUGGACACCUGAAGUCAUUGUUAUUUCAUUAAAAGAAGCAUUUCGUGGCUGAUUGUAUGUAGUUAGCUAAAUUAUUUUGUGACAUAUCCAUAUGUCA